UACGAACUGUGCGAACGUUAUUCGGAAUCACUGGGCUUACAGGGUGCGUAGGUGGCCGGACAAGUCAGGUGUGAAAUCCCUCAGCUCAACUGAGGAACUGCGCUUGAAACUGUUUGGCUAGAGUGAGCUAGGGGGUGCUUGGAACUGCCAGUGGAGCGGUGAAAUGUGUUGAUAUUGGCAGGAACACCGGAGCCGAAAGGGAAGCACUGGGGCUUAACUGACACUGAGGCACGAAAGCCAGGGGAGCAAACGGG
rnacentral:rRNA from 1 species